UUAUCGUGGACGAGGAUCCCGCGAAGGCGUGAGCCGAAGUGGGAGCUAUAUGCUGGAAACUCCGAAUAGUAUCCGGCACUACCACUAACUAAAAACCUGGGGGAAUUCAAGAUGUACGUCAUUGAAUACGAAGUCCCAGUAGUUCGACAGUAUUGUGAUGGGGAAGGUUUUGCGAUGAUUCCGACGUCUAGUCGCCUUAAGGCGACUACUGACAAGGACGCUAAACUCAAAGCCCGCACAGUCCUGCGUCGAGCGAUUCGAGUGUGCAGAGGUCGCAAGGUGGAACCUCGACCGCUCCGAAUCAUCAAGGUAGUUAAAAAGUGGUGAAAAAGUGACCGGUGCGGACAAUCAGCAGGGAAGAACUUAGAUAGGAGAAGAACGCAUGAAGAAUUAUCGUGCCGAAUUUUCUCACCGCAUUGGUGGGCAACAGGUCAACAGGGUCAAAACUUUCUGGAUGUCUUCGAAGAAGAAGGCAAUCGGAAAGUUUCGAUCCUUGCGAAAGGCAGAUUCAACGAUUCAAGAAGCCAGACUUUUUCGACAGAGAGACGAGUCUCUUGUCGACGAGUACGUCGGUUACAUCUAGGUUCCCCUCAGAGACUAAACGCCGAGAUCCCUAUUGGUCAACACUCGGUGUUGACCAAUAGGGAUAAGAUAUAGUCCGAACUGCAUAGCGAUAUGCAGAGUACAGCAGAAAUGUCUGUGCCUCCAAACUUAUACAACUUAUUAAACUUCAAAACUUAAUAACUUAAUUUGUGCGGAGCAACAAAUUGUAGAUACCCCAGUAGUCUACGCCCUAAACGAUGAUCGCUAGUUUUUCGGAGUAUCGACCCUCUGAGAGACGAAGCUAACGCGUUAAGCGAUCCGCCUGGGUAGUACGGCCGCAAGGCUAAAACUCAAAGGAAUAGACGGGGACUUGCACAAGCAGAGGAUUAUGUGGUUUAAUUCGAUGGCAAACGAAGAACCUUACCAAGAUUUGAAAUUUAGCUGAAGGCCGGCAGAAACGUCGGAGGUCCGCAAGGACAGCUAGACAGGUGAUGCAUGGCCGUCGUCAGUUCGUGAUUUGAGUUGUUCCCUUCAGUGGGGUAACGAACGCAACCCUCGUUGCCUGUUAUACGUGUCAGGCGAGACUGCCCCUUAUCAGGGGAGGAAGGUGAGGAUGACGCCAGGUCAGCAUGUCCCUCUGAUAUCUUGGGCUACACACAUAAUACAAUGGCCGGUACAACGGGUCGCAAUGGAGUAAUCCGGAGCCAAUCCUUAUAAAGCCGGCCCCAGUUCAGAUUGGGGGCUGAAACUCGACCCCAUGAAGUUGGAUUUGCUAGUAAUCGCGGGUCAGCUAUACCGCGGUGAAUACGUUCUCAAGUCUUGUACUCACCGCCCGUCAAGUCAGGGAAGUUGGGAGUGCCCGAAGAUCUGCUUUGCGGAUAUAAGGCAAGCUCAAUGACAAGGACUAAGUCGUAACAAGGCACGGGUAGCGGAAGCUGCUCGUG
rnacentral:rRNA from 1 species